rnacentral:rRNA from 1 species
UAGUCCACGCCGUAAACGAUGUAUACUCGUUGCUGGCGAUACACAGUCAGUGACCAAGCGAAAGUAUUAAGUAUACCACCUGGGGAGUACGCUCGCAAGAGUGAAACUCAAAUGAAUUGACGGGGGCCCGCACAAGCGGUGGAGCAUGUGGUUUAAUUCGAUGCAACGCGAAGAACCUUACCUACUCUUGACAUACUAGAAACUUUUCAGAGAUGAAUUGGUGCCUUCGGGAAUCUAGAUACAGGUGCUGCAUGGCUGUCGUCAGCUCGUGUCGUGAGAUGUUGGGUUAAGUCCCGCAACGAGCGCAACCCUCACUUUUAGUUGCCAUCAUUAAGUUGGGCACUCUGAAAGAACUGCCAGUGAUAAGCUGGAGGAAGGUGGGGAUGACGUCAAGUCCUCAUGGCCCUUACGUGUUGGGCUACACACGUGCUACAAUGGUAUCUACAACAGGAAGCAAAACUGCGAAGUUAAGCAAAAUCCCUAAAAAGAUA